rnacentral:rRNA from 1 species
AGAGUUUGAUCCUGGCUCAGGAUGAACGCUAGCGGCAGGCUUAAUACAUGCAAGUCGUGGGGCAGCAUGACUGUAGCAAUACAGUUGAUGGCGACCGGCAAACGGGUGCGGAACACGUACACAACCUUCCUUUGAGUGGGGAAUAGCCCGGGGAAACCCGGAUUAAUACCCCGUAACAUAAUGAAGUGGCAUCACUUUAUUAUUAUAGCAGCAAUGCGCUUUAAGAUGGGUGUGCGACUGAUUAGGCAGUUGGCGGGGUAACGGCCCACCAAACCUACGAUCAGUAACUGGUGUGAGAGCACGACCAGUCACACGGGCACUGAGACACGGGCCCGACUCCUACGGGAGGCAGCAGUAAGGAAUAUUGGUCAAUGGACGCAAGUCUGAACCAGCCAUGCCGCGUGGAGGAUGAAGGUCCUCUGGAUUGUAAACUUCUUUUAUCUGGGAAGAAAUCCACGAAUUCUUUUGUGGUUGACGUACCCAGGGAAUAGCACCGAC